UACAGAGGUCUCAAGCGUUGUUCGGAUUCAUUGGGCGUAAAGGAUGUGUGUAGGUGGCGCCGUAAGUCGGGUGUGAAAUUUCGGAGCUUAACUCCGAAACUGCAUUCGAUACUGCGGUGCUUGAGGACUGGAGAGGAGACUGGAAUUCAUGGUGUAGCAGUGAAAUGCGUAGAGAUCAUGAGGAAGACCAGUGGCGAAGGCGGGUCUCUGGACAGUUCCUGACACUGAGACACGAAGGCCAGGGGAGCAAACGGG
rnacentral:rRNA from 1 species